GAUGAACGCUGGCGGCGUGCCUAAUACAUGCAAGUCGAGCGAACAGACGAGGAGCUUGCUCCUCUGACGUUAGCGGCGGACGGGUGAGUAACACGUGGAUAACCUACCUAUAAGACUGGGAUAACUUCGGGAAACCGGAGCUAAUACCGGAUAAUAUAUUGAACCGCAUGGUUCAAUAGUGAAAGACGGUUUUGCUGUCACUUAUAGAUGGAUCCGCGCCGCAUUAGCUAGUUGGUAAGGUAACGGCUUACCAAGGCAACGAUGCGUAGCCGACCUGAGAGGGUGAUCGGCCACACUGGAACUGAGACACGUGCCAGACUCCUACGGGAGGCAGCAGUAGGGAAUCUUCCGCAAUGGGCGAAAGCCUGACGGAGCAACGCCGCGUGAGUGAUGAAGGUCUUCGGAUCGUAAAACUCUGUUAUUAGGGAAGAACAAAUGUGUAAGUAACUAUGCACGUCUUGACGGUACCUAAUCAGAAAGCCACGGCUAACUACGUG
rnacentral:rRNA from 1 species